UACGUAGGGCGCAAGCGUUGUCCGGAAUUAUUGGGCGUAAAGAGCUCGUAGGCGGUUUGUCGCGUCUGCUGUGAAAACGCGAGGCAUAACCUCGCGCCUGCAGUGGGUACGGGCAGACUAGAGUGCGGUAGGGGAGACUGGAAUUCCUGGUGUAGCGGUGGAAUGCGCAGAUAUCAGGAGGAACACCGGUGGCGAAGGCGGGUCUCUGGGCCGUUACUGACGCUGAGGAGCGAAAGCAUGGGGAGCGAACAGG
rnacentral:rRNA from 1 species